rnacentral:misc_RNA from 1 species
UCCCCGUUACCGGGGCAGUCUCACAAGACAAAUCCAACUUGUAAUGAGGGUUGCGCUCGUUAAGGGACUUAACCCUACAUCUCACGACACGAGCUGACGACGGCCAUGCAUCACCUGUCAUCGGGUUCCUUGCGGCACGUUCGCCUUUCAGCGAACUUCCCGAGAUGUCAAGUCCUGGUAAGGUUCUUCGCGUAGCGUCGAAUUAAACCACACGCUCCACCGCUUGUGCGGGUCCCCGUCUAUUCCUUUGAGUUUUAAGCUUGCGCUCGUACUCCCCAGGCGGGAUGCUUAACGCGUUAGCUUCGCUACCGAACGGGUCGAUUCGUCCGACAGCUAGCAUCCAUCGUUUACGGCGUGGACUAC